UUGAUAGCUCAGUUGGCAGAGCAUGAGACUCUUAAUCUCAGGCUCAUGGGUUCAAGCCCCACAUUGGGCAAAA